UACGUAGGGUGCAAGCGUUGUCCGGAAUUAUUGGGCGUAAAGAGCUCGUAGGUGGCCUGUCGCGUCGGCUGUGAAAACUCGGGGCUCAACUCCGAGCUUGCAGUCGAUACGGGCAGGCUAGAGUUCGGCAGGGGGAGACUGGAAUUCCUGGUGUAGCGGUGAAAUGCGCAGAUAUCAGGAGGAACACCGGUGGCGAAGGCGGUUCUCUGGGCCUUACCUGACGCUGAGGAGCGAAAGCGUGGGGGAGCAAACAGG
rnacentral:rRNA from 1 species